rnacentral:rRNA from 1 species
UACGUAGGGUGCGAGCGUGAAUCGGAAUUACUGGGCGUAAAGCGUGCGCAGGCGGUUCGUUGUGUCGGCGGUGAAAGCCCCGGGCUCAACCUGGGAAUGGCCGUUGAAACUGGCGAACUGGAGUGUGGCAGAGGGGGGUGGAAUUCCGCGUGUAGCAGUGAAAUGCGUAGAGAUGCGGAGGAACACCGAUGGCGAAGGCAGCCCCCCUGGGCUAACACUGACGCUCAGGCACGAAAGCGUGGGGAGCAAACAGG